CUCCGGUUGAUCCUGCCGGACCUGACUGCUAUCGGAUUGGUACUAAGCCAUGCGAGUCAUUGUAGCAAUACAAGGCGGACGGCUCAGUAACACGUAGUCAACCUAACUCGUGGACGUGGAUAACCUCGGGAAACUGAGAAUAAACCACGAUAGAUCAUAGUGCCUGGAAUGGCUUAUGGUCCAAACAGUUUACUGCCAUGGGAUGGGACUGCGGCCUAUCAGCUUGUUGGUGAGGUAAUGGCCCACCAAGGCGAUUACAGGUACGGGCUCUGAGAGGAGAAGCCCGGAGAUGGGUACUGAGACACGGACCCAGGCCCUAUGGGGCGCAGCAGGCGAGAAACCUUAGCAAUGUGCGAAAGCACGACUGGGUCAGUCCGAGUGAUUCCUGAUAAAGGAGUCUUUUGCUUGUCCUAAAAGCACAGGUGAAUAAGGGGUGGGCAAGUCUGGUGUCAGCCGCCGCGGUAAUACCAGCACCUCGAGUGGUCAGGACGUUUAUUGGGCCUAAAGCAUCCGUAGCCGGCUCUGCAAGUCUUCGGUUAAAUCCACCUGCUCAACAGAUGGGCUGCUGGAGAUACUACAGAGCUAGGGAGUGGGAGAGGCAGACGGUAUUCAGUGGGUAGGGGUAAAAUCCUCUGAUCCAUUGAGGACCACCAGUGGCGAAGGCGGUCUGCCAGAACACGUUCGACGGUGAGGGAUGAAAGCUGGGGGAGCAAACCGGAUUAGAUACCCGGGUAGUCCCAGCUGUAAACGAUGCAAACUCGGUGAUGCAUUGGCUUAUGGCCAAUGCAGUGCCGCAGGGAAGCCGUUAAGUUUGCCGCCUGGGGAGUACGGUCGCAAGACUGAAACUUAAAGGAAUUGGCGGGGGAGCA
rnacentral:rRNA from 1 species